GAUAAACGCUGGCGGCGUGCCUAACACAUGCAAGUCGAACGCCCUUUUGCGCAAGUGAGAGGGAGUGGCGGACGGGUGAGUACCACGUGGGUACCUACCUUGAGGUGAGGAAUACCACCGAGAAAUCGGUGACAAGACCGCAUACGCUCGGGCAACCGAGCAAAGUCAUGCAAAUGACGCCACAAGAUGAGCCUGCGCCUGAUUAGCUGGUUGGUGAGGAACAGCUCACCAAGGCGACGAUCAGUAGCUGGUCUGAGAGGAUGAUCAGCCACACUGGGAUUGAGAACGGCCCAGACUCCUACGGGGG
rnacentral:rRNA from 1 species